rnacentral:rRNA from 15 species
AACAGGAUUAGAUACCCUGGUAGUCCACGCCCUAAACGAUGUCUACUAGUUGUCGGGUCUUAAUUGACUUGGUAACGCAGCUAACGCGUGAAGUAGACCGCCUGGGGAGUACGGUCGCAAGAUUAAAACUCAAAGGAAUUGACGGGGGCCCGCACAAGCGGUGGAUGAUGUGGAUUAAUUCGAUGCAACGCGAAAAACCUUACCUACCCUUGACAUGUC